rnacentral:rRNA from 1 species
AUUGAACGCUGGCGGCAGGCCUAACACAUGCAAGUCGGGCGAGAGGCGGACGGGUGAGUAAUGUAUGGGGAUCUGCCUGAUGGCGGGGGCAAACUACUGGAAACGGUAGCUAAUACAGAAUACCAUACAAUGAACCCCUAAGGGAUUAGCUAGGAGGUGAGGUAACGGCUUACCUAGGCGACGAUCCCUAGCUGGUCUGAGAGGAUGAUCAGCCACACUGGGACUGAGACACGGCCCAGACUCCUACGUGGGGCAGCAGUGGGGAAUAUUGCACAAUGGGCGCAAGCCUGAUGCAGCCAUGCCGCGUGUAUGAAGAAGGCCUUCGGGUUGUAAAGUACUUUCAGUCGGGAGGCGUUACCGACAGAAGAAGCACCGGCUAACUCCGUGCCAGCAGCCGCGGUAAUUC